rnacentral:rRNA from 1 species
CCUACGGGAGACAGCAGUGGGGAAUAUUGGACAAUGGGCGAAAGCCUGAUCCAGCAAUGCCGCGUGAGUGAUGAAGGCCUUAGGGUUGUAAAGCUCUUUUACCAGGGAUGAUAAUGACAGUACCUGGAGAAUAAGCUCCGGCUAACUCCGUGCCAGCAGCCGCGGUAAUACGGAGGGAGCUAGCGUUGUUCGGAAUUACUGGGCGUAAAGCGUACGUAGGCGGUUAUUCAAGUCAGAGGUGAAAGCCUGGAGCUCAACUCCAGAACUGCCUUUGAAACUAGAUAGCUAGAAUCUUGGAGAGGUGAGUGGAAUUCCGAGUGUAGAGGUGAAAUUCGUAGAUAUUCGGAAGAACACCAGUGGCGAAGGCGACUCACUGGACAAGUAUUGACGCUGAGGUACGAAAGCGUGGGGAGCAAACAGGAUUAGAUACCCUGGUAGUCCACGCCGUAAACGAUGAUAACUAGCUGUUCGGGCUCUACGAGCUUGAGUGGCGCAGCUAACGCAUUAAGUUAUCCGCCUGGGGAGUACGGUCGCAAGAUUAAAACUCAAAGGAAUUGACGG